rnacentral:rRNA from 1 species
UAACUGAAGAGUUUGAUCAUGGCUCAGAUUGAACGCUGGCGGCAGGCUUAACACAUGCAAGUCGAGCGGGGGAAGGUAGCUUGCUACUGGACCUAGCGGCGGACGGGUGAGUAAUGCUUAGGAAUCUGCCUAUUAGUGGGGGACAACAUCUCGAAAGGGAUGCUAAUACCGCAUACGUCCUACGGGAGAAAGCAGGGGAUCUUCGGACCUUGCGCUAAUAGAUGAGCCUAAGUCGGAUUAGCUAGUUGGUGGGGUAAAGGCCUACCAAGGCGACGAUCUGUAGCGGGUCUGAGAGGAUGAUCCGCCACACUGGGACUGAGACACGGCCCAGACUCCUACGGGAGGC